rnacentral:tRNA from 1 species
GCGGGCGUGGCGGAAUUGGUAGACGCGCAAGAUUAAGGAUCUUGUGGCCCUUGGGCCAUGGAAGUUCGAGUCUUCUCGCCCGCA